rnacentral:rRNA from 1 species
UACGUAGGGUGCGAGCGUUAAUCGGAAUUACUGGGCGUAAAGCGUGCGCAGGCGGUUCUGAAAGUCAGCUGUGAAAGCCCCGGGCUUAACCUGGGAACGGCGGUUGAAACUACAGGACUAGAAUCUGGCAGAGGGGGGUGGAAUUCCACGUGUAGCAGUGAAAUGCGUAGAGAUGUGGAGGAACACCGACGGCGAAGGCAGCCCCCUGGGCUGAGAUUGACGCUCAGGCACGAAAGCGUGGGGAGCAAACAGG